rnacentral:rRNA from 1 species
UUCGCAAUGCCCGAAAGGGUGACGAUGCGACGCCGCGUGAGCGAAGAAGGCCCUAGGGUUGUAAAGCUCUGUCGAGGGUUAUGAAAUAUAGAUGGGUUAAUACCCCAUUUAUUUGACAAAAGCCCAAAAGGAAGCCACGGCUAACUCUGUGCCAGCAGCCGCGGUAAUACAGAGGUGACGAGCGUUGUUCGGUAUUAUUGGGCGUAAAGAGCACGUAGGUGGUUUUGUAAGUCAGGUGUGAAAGCCUUCUGUUCAAAGGGAGAACGGCAUCUGAAACUGCAGAUCUUGAGUGUAGGAGGGGAGAGUGGAACUUCUGGUGGAGCGGUGAAAUGCGUAGAUAUCAGAAGGAACGUCGGCGGCGAAAGCGACUCUCUGGCCUAUUACUGACACUGAGGUGCGAAAGUUAGGGGAGCAAACGGGAUUAGAUACCCCGGUAGUCCUAACCGUAAACGAUGGGCACUAAGUAGAGGGGUUUU